UGAACAAAGGCUGGGGAAGGAGACGCUGGGGAGUGAAAGGAGUCUCAGAAGCUGGCUGAGGAAUGGAGGGAAGCACAGACAGCGCUCUGACCCCCCAAGGGGGCAGUGGUGCUCCUGGGACCCCAAGAUGGACCUAAUUGGGGAGGAUCCUGCUGUCUGUGCCUGCAAGACCUGUCUGGGACUGUGUUCCUGUCGGCUAAAUAAACCUUCUGCUUUACUGGCUGGCUGAGAGCCCUGGUGAAUGGCAGGAAGCCGGGGGUGCAGAGCCCUGACUUCCCCACACUCCGUGACAGCUCCAGUACAAAGAGGCUUGUACACCAGCCAACAUCUCGCCCAGCCUGGGGUCCCUGCGCCGCGGUUUCUCGUGGAAAUCAGAAGCAUCUUUUUGAUCCACAUCAAGAAUAGGGUUUAAGACAGCUGCUAAUGACUGACCUGAGGUCUGUUCACACACAGUCCCCUGCAUGGCUGGAGCAGCAAGACAAGAUGGGGGGUUAUUUUACAGUGUUCUCGUAGCCAGUGGCGCCAGAGACACGUCUGCUUGAGGGAUGCUCCGUCUCGCUCCCUGGAGGGAUUCCUGAGCCCUGGCGACCUGAUGGCAGCGCCGUGGAGGUGCCCUGGCAAGGAAGGGGCGGCAGUGAGUCACAGCACCUCAGACUGGCACCAUGGGGAACUGGUUUCUGUUCUUUGCCAUAAAUCCCCAGGAGCCAGCGUGGCAGCAGAAAGGAUCACGCUGACUGGGCUGGCGUGUGAGCGUAGCCAUGAGGCAGUCUGCACGGAGCUGUGGGAGCAGCACGCACAGGUGUUGCUUAGUGACCACACCUGGAAGAUGUGAGCCUGUAGCAAACACCGUGUGUCAGGCUGUGGGUAUAGACUGCCCGACAGAGUGUGGCCCGGCGCAUAUCCCCGUUUCACAGAGGUAGCCGGCUGCAGUGGGAGAGGAGCGAGGCUAAGGAUAGCUCUGGGUCAGCGGGGCUUUCUUGCCAGGGUCACUUCUCUGAGCUAGUGCAAAUCCCGAUGCCUUGGCCCUUUCACAGAGUUUGUUCCCUGGGGAGGGGAACAAGAGCUAGUGGCUGGGAAAUGUUCUAGAUGCUUAUGAAUGGGGGUGACGCCAAAGCAGUUCAUGCUUGUCUGAAACCUCCCCCUGGAAAGACAACAGAUUCCUUAGGGCUCCCCCACCCCGCCCUUGGGGCAGUGGGCCAGGAGGGUGGGGCUGGGUUUGCAGUGUCUGUCUGCAGAUUAUCCUCAGACUGCUGGCUACUUCAUUUGCCCGACCUGUAUGAAUGACGGUGCUUGGCCUGUCUGGCUUGCCGGGGCGCUCUCCCCCCCCGAGUGAGAUAC